AGAGUUUGAUCCUGGCUCAGAUUGAACGCUGGCGGCAGGCCUAACACAUGCAAGUCGAGCGGAUGAUGGGAGCUUGCUCCCGGAUUCAGCGGCGGACGGGUGAGUAAUGCCUAGGAAUCUGCCUGGUAGUGGGGGACAACGUUUCGAAAGGAACGCUAAUACCGCAUACGUCCUACGGGAGAAAGCAGGGGACCUUCGGGCCUUGCGCUAUCAGAUGAGCCUAGGUCGGAUUAGCUAGUUGGUGGGGUAAAGGCCUACCAAGGCGACGAUCCGUAACUGGUCUGAGAGGAUGAUCAGUCACACUGGAACUGAGACACGGUCCAGACUCCUACGGGAGGCAGCAGUGGGGAAUAUUGGACAAUGGGCGAAAGCCUGAUCCAGCCAUGCCGCGUGUGUGAAGAAGGUCUUCGGAUUGUAAAGCACUUUAAGUUGGGAGGAAGGGCAGUAAGUUAAUACCUUGCUGUUUUGACGUUACCAACAGAAUAAGCACCGGCUAACUUCGUGCCAGCAGCCGCGGUAAUAC
rnacentral:rRNA from 1 species